rnacentral:rRNA from 1 species
UACGGGGGGGUAAGCGUUGUUCGGAAUUACUGGGCGUAAAGGGCUCGUAGGCGGCCAACUAAGUCAGACGUGAAAUCCCUCAGCUUAACUGGGGAACUGCGUCUGAUACUGGAUGGCUUGGAUCCGGGAGAGGGAUGCGGAAUUCCAGGUGUAGCGGUGAAAUGCGUAGAUAUCUGGAGGAACACCGGUGGCGAAGGCGGCGUUCUGGACUGCAACUGACACUGAGGAACGAAAGCCAGGGAGCAAACGGG